UUAGUAGUGGCGAGCGAACGUGGACUAGCCCUUAAGUGGCUUUGAGAUUAGCGGAACGCUCUGGAAAGUGCGGCCAUAGUGGGUGAUAGCCCUGUACGCGAAAAUCUCUUGGUCAUGAAAUCGAGUAGGACGGAGCACGAGAAACUUUGUCUGAAUAUGGGGGGACCAUCCUCCAAGGCUAAAUACUACUGACUGACCGAUAGUGAACUAGUACCGUGAGGGAAAGGCGAAAAGAACCCCGGAGAGGGGAGUGAAAUAGAUCCU
rnacentral:rRNA from 1 species